UACGAAGGGGGCUAGCGUUGUUCGGAUUUACUGGGCGUAAAGCGUGCGCAGGCGGUUCGUUGUGUCUGAUGUGAAGCCCCGGGCUCAACCUGGGAAUGGCAUUGGAAACUGGCGAGCUAGAGUGUGGCAGAGGGGGGUGGAAUUCCGCGUGUAGCAGUGAAAUGCGUAGAGAUGCGGAGGAACACCGAUGGCGAAGGCAGCCCCCUGGGCUGACACUGACGCUCAGGCACGAAAGCGUGGGGAGCAAACAGG
rnacentral:rRNA from 1 species